CACCGCGGUUAUACGAGAGGCCCGAGUUGAUACCAUUCGGCGUAAAGAGUGGUUAGGAGAAAUAAAUACUAAAGCCGCACACCUUCAAAGCUGUUAUACGCACCCGAAGGCCAGAAGCUCAACCACGAAAGUAGCUUUAUAAACCUGACCCCACGAAAGCUCUGGCA
rnacentral:rRNA from 1 species